rnacentral:tRNA from 9 species
GCAACUGUAGCUCAGCGAGGUGAGAGCACUGGUUUGAAAGUCCAGGGGUCGUUCGUUCAAAUCGAACCGGUUGCACCA